rnacentral:rRNA from 1 species
UCAAGCUACUAAGAGCGCAUGAAGGAUGCCUUGGCACCGGUAGGCGAUGAAGGACGUGUAAAGCUGCGAUAAGUCGCGGGGAGCUGCAUACAAGCUUUGAUCCGUGAAUUUCCGAAUGGAGAAAUCCGUCAGAAGUAAUGUUCUGUCAUCAUAAACUGAAUCCAUAGGUUUAUGAAGCGAGACGCAGUGAAGUGAAACAUCUCAGUAACUGCAGGAAAAGAAAUCAAAAGACAUUCCGCAAGUAGUGGCGAACGAACGCGGAGGAGCCCAAACCAGGCGGCUUGCCGUCUGGGGUUGCGGGACCCCGAUGUGAUAUCACGGAAGUUAGUUGAACGAUCUGGAAAGUUCGUCCAAAGAGGGUGACAGGCCCGUAAACGACAACCGAAGUGAGUCUAGGGGUAUCCCAAGUAGGUCGGCACACGUGAAACUCCGACUGAAUCCGGGGAGACCACUCUCCAAGGCUAAAUACUAACCGGUGACCGAUAGUGAACAAGUACCGCGAGGGAAAGGUGAAAAAGUACCCCUGUUAGGGGAGUGAAAAGUAUCUGAAAUCAUGCGCUUACAAAGUGUGGGAGCCCUUCGGGGUGACCGCAUGCCUUUUGCAUAAUGAGCUUGCGACUUACUUUAUGUAGCGAGGUUAAGCCAGUGGCGAAGCCGAAGCGAAAGCGAGUGCGAAUAGCGCGUCUAGUUGCAUGAAGUAGACCCGAAACUGAGUGAUCUAUCCAUGGUCAGGCUGAAUCUCCGGUAACACGGAGUGGAGGGCCGAACCGGUAAGUGUUGAAAAACUUUCGGAUGAACUGUGGAUAGGAGCGAAAGACCAAUCAAACUCAGUGAUAGCUGGUUCUCUUCGAAAUAUCUUGAGGGAUAGCCUUGCGUUUAAUUAGUGCGUGGGGGUAGAGCUCUGAUUGUUAGAGGGUCCCGACAGGGAUACCAAAAACUGUCAAACUCCAAAUACCACGAUACUGUAUCGCAGGAGUCAGACUGUGGGGGAUAAGCUUCAUAGUCGAGAGGGCAUCAGCCCAGACCGUCAGCUAAGGUCCCUAAUUUAAGCUAAGUGGAUUGAAGGAUGUGGAGUUACGUAAACAACCAGGAUGUUGGCUUAGAGGCAGCCAUCAUUUAAAGAACGCGUAAUAGCGCACUGGUCGAGCGAUUCCGCGCCGAAGAUGAUCGGGACUAAGCUUAAAACCGAAGCUGCGGAUUCUAAGUUUACUUAGAAUGGUAGAAGAGCGUUGUAUGUGGAUCGAAGCCGAUAUGAAAAUGGAGGUGGACUUCAUACAAGUGACCAUGCAAGCAUGAGUAGCGAAAAACCGGAUGAGAAUUCCGGUCACCGAAAGACUAAGGUUUCCUGGGCAAGGUUCGUCCUCUCAGGGUUAGUCGGAACCUAAGGCGAGGCGGAAACGCGUAGUCGAUGGACAAUUGGUUAAUAUUCCAAUACCACCUUAUCGGAGUGAUGGAAGGACGCAGUUGCUAAUGUGAUUCUGGCUAUAUGCCAGUCGAAGAUCAUGGGACGCCGGGGGUUAAAUGACCCGGCAUCAGUCUGAAGAUUGACAGGCGGUGGAUCCUUCGGGUGAAUCCGUUUCACUGAUGCUAUACUGACGAGAAAAGCUCCUAAACGUUGAUGAUAGGGUGUCCGUACCGCAAACCGACACAGGUAGUCGAGGCGAAAAGCCUAAGGUGCGCGAGUGAAACCACUUCAAGGAACUCGGCAAAUUGGCCCCGUAACUUAGGGAGAAGGGGUGCCCGACGGGUGAAAGCCCGGAGGGUUUCAACAAAGAGGCCGCGGCGACUGUUUAACAAAAACACAGCUCUCUGCUAACUCGCAAGAGGAUGUAUAGGGAGUGACACGUGACCAAUGCCGAAAGGUCAAAUGGAUCCGUCAGCAGCAAUGCGAAGCGGUGAUAUGAAGCCCCGGUGAAUGUCGGCCGUAACUAUAACGGUCCUAAGGUAGCGAAAUUCCUUGUCGGGUAAGUUCCGACCUGCACGAAUCGUGUAACGAUCGCGGCACUGUCUCGAAGUGGAGCUCGGCGAAGUUGUAAUUCCGGUGAAAAUGCCGGAUACCUGCAGUAGGACGGAAAGACCCUGUGAACCUUUACUGUAAUCUGAUAUUGGUAUUCGUGUGUUCAUGUGUAGUAUAGGUGGGAGGCUUUGAAGCCGCCGCGCCAGCGGUGGUGGAGUCAUCAGUGAAAUACCACCCUUGAUAACUUGAAUAUCUAACUGAAGCCCGUGAAUCCGGGAUUGGGACAGUGUCAGAGGGUCAGUUUGACUGGGGCGGUUUCCUCCAAAACGGUAACGGAGGAGCACGAAGGUACACUCAGCACGGUUGGCAAUCGUGCACAGAGCGCAAGGGUAGAAGUGUGCUUAACUGUGAGACAAACAUGUCGAACAGAUACGAAAGUAGGUCCUAGUGAUCCAGCGAUGGAACGUGGAAUCGUCGUUGCUCAACGGACAAAAGGUACUCCGGGGAUAACAGGCUGAUAGCGCCCAAGCGUCCAUAGCGACGGCGCUGUUUGGCACCUCGAUGUCGGCUCAUCUCAUCCUGGGGCUGUAGAAGGUCCCAAGGGUCCGGCUGUUCGCCGGUUAAAGAGGUACGCGAGCUGGGUUCAAAACGUCGCAAGACAGUUUGGUCCUUAUCCACUGCAGGCGCAGGACAUUUGAUGAGAGCAUUCCUUAGUACGAGAGGACCGGGAAUGACCGACCGCUGGUAUUCCAAUUGUCUCUAAAGAGGCAGCGUUGGGUAGCUAUGUCGGGAAAGGAUAAGCGCUGAAAGCAUCUAAGCGCCAAGCCCCCUCAAAGAUGAUAUGUCCCGGACCGUAAGGUCCCUGAAGGCGGGUCGUAGACUACGACCUUGAUAGGAUAGAAGUGUAAGAACAGCAAUGUUUUCAGCUUACUAUUACUAAUACGCCGUGAGGCUUGACCAC